rnacentral:lncRNA from 1 species
AUGGUGCAUGGCACAAGACCUUGGGGGAUAUUCUGGUAUUUGAGAACUCUGUCCCAUUCAGCAAAGAAGUCACUGUGUCAUUUCAGUUCAGGUCCCGCACGGGUCUUUAACGCCAUAAAGGAAACCAUCCGUCCGUCGCCCGGCCUGCCCGCAGGCGGCCCCGGUUUACAGAACCCUCGCCGAGACUGGUGCGGCCCUGGCCUCGUGCGGGGAUUUCAAACAGGCCCACAGUGUGUCCGCGAAUCCUUCGACAGUCACCCCAUCCGCAGGUGGGCUCCUGUCGGCCUUCCCUCAAAGGAGGCCUGGGCUGCCGGACGCUUCUAAACAGGACGAGGCAGAACCGAGGCUGCGAGCCCACGGGCCAGGCUGCUGCGGGGACCACGGCUGCCCCCUGACUUGCCCUCCCCCGGGACCCUCAGGCCUCCAGGCUAAGAGCUGGGCCUGUCACAGCUCCUGGGUCUUCGCAGCCCGGGUUGGAGGCCCGCGAGGUGACUCCAGGUGACUCCAGCCUUCUGGCGGUCCCAGCUGACACCAAGUGGGUCCUGCUCAGCCCGAACCAGAUGGCACAUUCCUAAGCAAAAGAAAGGCUGUUGUUUUAAGCCACUA